AAAGAAAACCAAGAAAAGCAGGGGUGGAGAGACAGAGCGAGAAGGAGGCCUCAAAUUAUGGUUUGGGAUUACACUGGUUUUGGAUAUACAAGGUACAAUGCCAGAGACAUUAACAAAGAAAUACUAGGGUAAGCACAAUUCUGCAGCUGUCUCCUUCCGUGAUGAAACCUGUGUCAUUGCUAAGAGGAUAUAAAUCAGACAGGAGACCUGCAAACUCGACAAUGAUGGCAAUUCUGGAUGGCUUUCAGAAGGCAUAUUCCGUUGAUUUCAGACCACUCAAUGCACUGCGCCCUGCUGCAUUCCAAGGGGCUCAUUAUAUUUCACCAUUGAAAAGGCAAAUAAUCUCGUAUGCAUCUGGUAACCAAGCUUGUACACUCGUUUAAGGACGGUUCGGAGGAAUGGUCCAAGAAGGCGCUAGAGCUUGAGGAUUCAUGAAGACUUUAGACUUUGGUUGUGGAAUUUCAAAAUUAUCUGUUUGUCUUAUGUCUUCAUGCAUGCUGGACGCGAAUGGAAGGUGUAUGAGGUGGCAAAGACGGUCUUUGAAAACAAUGACACAGAAACUAGAAAGUCUUUGCAAAGUGAUAAUGGUGGUAAAAAGUUGAUCAUUUUCUUGGCUUUCACUCUUCAUUUCAUCCAUCAAGCAUUCCUUUAUAUGUUUGCAUUGUUAUCUUGUCUUGAUAUUUAUCAUCUACAUUAUGGGGUUGUGAUUUUCUUUUUAUCUAUGGCAAGUUUGUUCCUUUGAUAAAUAGUGUUGGAUGCUUUUUUAGUGGUUUUCAAUUACUUUACUAUUGUGGUGUGGGUGUUUCUCAUCUUGUUUAAUUUGGUUGUGCUUUUUUGUUGUCUCAUUCAAGUAAACGACGUGUAUUGUGUUCUUUGUGGUAUAUCAAGCUCUGUGAGACAUUUUGUUGUCGGGAUGUCUGUAAUUGUUUAGCAUUUUAGGAUUAGACUCUUGGUUCAAUUGAAAUUACAUGAAACUUCUCAUAUUCUAAUUUUGAUUUGAACAGCCCAAUUCACCUUCCAAAUGAGAUAAAACCAUUUCAAAAGUAAAGAAUUCCAUGACAUAUAUGUAG